rnacentral:rRNA from 1 species
CAGAGGGGGCAAGCGUUAUUCGGAAUUAUUGGGCGUAAAGGGCGCGUAGGCGGUUUUGUAAGCGCGAGGUGAAAGGCAAUAGCUCAACUAUUGUAAGCCUUGCGAACUGUAAGACUUGAGUGCAGGAGAGGAAAGUGGAAUUCCUAGUGUAGCGGUGAAAUGCGUAGAUAUUAGGAGGAACACCAGUGGCGAAGGCGACUUUCUGGGCUGUAACUGACACUGAGGCACGAAAGCGUGGGGAGCAAACAGGAUUAGAUACCCUGGUAGUCCACGCCGUAAACGAUGAGCACUAGGUGUCGGGGUCGCAAGGCUUCGGUGCCGCAGUUAACGCAUUAAGUGCUCCGCCUGGGGAGUACGCACGCAAGUGUG